GGGGGUGACAUGGCUUCGACGUGGGUCGCGAAACUCCGAGUGCAUGCCGAGGGACAGAUUACCUCGUAAAUCCAGCUGUAAAACUUAUAGUUGCCAACGACGACAACUACGCACUAGCUGCCUAAAAACCAGCCUAGCGCCCUCUGCCCGGACCGUGCCUGUGCGUCCGGAUCCCAGGGGUCGACUACACAGGACCGCGGUGAGGGCUUGUUCAGGGCCCGAUCCGUUAAAUCUCUACUGAACUGGCUGUGAGUCUUCCCUGCCCGUCGGGUAGCUCACAGUGAGAUCAAAGACGGAAUAAGCAUGUAGACCUUGGGGCGGAGGGCUUGCGGACGUGGGUUCGAUUCCCACCACCUCCACCA
rnacentral:tmRNA from 1 species